CCUUCACCUACAUAACCAGUUUCCCCACACUAUGACUCACGCAUAUUGUGCCUAGCAGAACGCACUCAGCUAUGCAGCCCUCAGUUGGCAUUGGCUUGGAGAGACCGUUCCCGCCAGGCUAGGCAGUAGAGCGCUGCACAGCGCACUGUCCCGCCUCCCAGCCUCCGCCCAAGCAGUUCCGACCCAGCGCCAGCAGGCCUGCUAGGUCGAUCUUCGAGCCGCCGAUGAGACGAAGUUGGAAGAUGGCUCUGUCCUGGGGCCUGCGGUGCUCCCGCAGGGUACUGUCCUGGGCACCAGUGCUUGUUAUUGUCCUUGUCGUGCUCUGGUCCUACUAUGCCUACGUCUUUGAACUCUGCCUGGUGACUGUCUUGAGCCCAGCAGAAAAAGUUAUCUACCUCAUACUCUACCAUGCCAUCUUUGUAUUCUUUUCAUGGACUUACUGGAAGUCUAUCUUUACACUUCCACAGCAGCCAAACCACAAGUUCCACUUGUCCUAUACAGACAAAGAGCGCUAUGAAAAUGAAGAGAGGCCUGAGGUUCAGAAGCAGAUGCUUGUUGACAUGGCCAAGAAGCUACCAAUUUAUACAAGAACUGGGAGUGGAGCUGUGCGAUUUUGUGACCGGUGCCAUCUGAUCAAGCCAGACCGCUGCCACCACUGCUCUGUCUGUGCCAUGUGUGUAUUAAAAAUGGAUCAUCAUUGCCCUUGGGUUAAUAACUGCAUUGGAUUUUCCAACUACAAAUUCUUCCUUCAGUUCUUAGCUUAUUCUGUCCUCUACUGCCUGUACAUUGCUACAACAGUCUUCAACUAUUUCAUCAAAUACUGGAGAGGGGAAUUGCCCAGUGUUCGCUCUAAGUUCCAUGUUCUUUUCCUUCUCUUUGUGGCCUGCAUGUUUUUUGUCAGCCUGGUGAUUCUCUUUGGUUACCAUUGUUGGCUUGUCAGCAGAAACAAAACCACCUUAGAGGCCUUCUGCACGCCAGUGUUUACAAGUGGCCCAGAGAAAAAUGGGUUCAAUCUUGGCUUCAUCAAGAAUAUCCAGCAAGUAUUUGGAGAUAACAAGAAAUUAUGGUUAAUACCUGUUGGGUCCAGCCCUGGUGAUGGACACUCCUUCCCUAUGAGAUCUAUGAAUGAGUUACAGAACCCUCUGCUUGCAAAUGAAGAACCCUGGGAAGACGAUGAGGUUGACAACCAAGAUCACCCAGAAGAUUCCUCAUCUCUUGCUGUGGAAAUGGAAACAUAGCAGUUUUGACAUUUCUUGCAUUACUCAGACAGGACCUACCAUCUUCCUGGAGGCUUACAGAGUUCAAUGCUGGAAACCAUUCUAAUCUUGAAGAUAAGUCACCAUGUUGGAUCAAAGUGUUACAAUUCGAAAACAUCCCAUCACAUACUUGCUGUGUAAAUAUUUCAAGACUUUACAUUAUUUAAUUUACUGACUAACUCAGUAAAUUAAUUAAUGUAUCACUUUGGCAGCAAUUAGCUCAUGCCAGUUUUCCUCUCUUUAUUCAUCCCCUCCAUCUGCAAAAGUCUAAAUACAAAAAAAAAAUGCUGUUUCAUUCAUUUUACCAGGUAAAAGGUAAUUCAGAAGACUUUCUUGGAGUCUUUAAUUCCCCGAGAAAGACUAUUAAUCAUAUCUACAGGUUCUUUUUGGUGUUGAGAAUCAGACUACUUUUGAUGCUUAUGUGUGUGUACAUUUAUAAAUGUGUAUAUGUGCAGUAUAUCUGUACAAAAUUCUGCUAUCAUGUUGUUUAAGGUUAAUAUCAUAGGAAUUUUUAAAAUGAUGCAUUUCUUCUAAAUAGCAAUUUAAGUAUUUUCUGAACUUUAAACUAUUCCUACAUCAGGUAUCUAAAAUUUGAGAGGGUGAUUCAAUACACUGGGACCAAAGUCUUCAAAUUGGGAAUUGAACAACAAUGUAAAACCUGUUCUCUGUCACAGAGGUUCCUGAAAGCACUACAGAUAAUUGAGAAGAUCAAAUAAGAUCAGGUCAGGACUUCUACUUUAUGAAACAUAACAAUUAUUGUUUUAAAGACUUUUAAUGCCAGGCUGUACUAAAAUUCUCCAAUUACUUUUAUUCAUUUAUCUACUGUCUACAUUUAUUUUAGCCUUUAUGAAUUUAUUUUAUGAUGAAAGAAAAAUUAUAAGCCUAAAUGAUAGGCCAUAGGUUUUGUUAAGGAUUUUUUAGGCUGAUUUUUCAGAUUUAAUGCCAAUAUUGUUCAUAAGGGUAAAGUUUCAUAGCUGACAUUAGCCCAAAGUUUAGCACUAAAAAUCUGUGUUUUGUUAAUGUAUAGAUAGUGAUAACUGGAUAUGCCAAUCCUUUCUUUCUUUUGUAUUUGAUGGUAGUUUAGCCAUUAAGAUAGUUUACACCUUAUUUAUAUAUAAAUAUAAUCAGCCUUUCUUUCAGUCCUAGUGCCUGGAUCACUGAGUGAUGCUUCUUUAAUAAUAAUAAUAAUAAUAAUAAUACAACCAGCAUUCUAGUGCCCAGCUACUGACAAUGAAAGCCUCAACUUUUAGAGAGAUAAUUGGGAGUUAGUGGCAUCUUUCAGCUACCAAGAAAUUGAUCUUUUAGAGGGAUUAGGUUUACUAAAAUUAUCCCCCCAGCAAAACCUUCUUGAGUAUAAAAGAGUUGCCUGCCCCAAACAAUUCAGAGUUGUGGCACCAGUGGAGCUGAGAAGGUGGGCAAUCAAGCUUCCUAAAGCAACAAGACUUGUUCAUUUGGGCCCCCUAGGUAAUUUUGACCAAGGUGAAUUUUUUUCUGAAACAGGGUCUCGCUCUAUUGCCACAGAUACCGUGCACUAACAUCAUCAUAUCUCAAUGUAACCUCAAAUUCCCAGGCUCAAGCGAUCCUCCUGCUUCAACCUCCUGAGUAGCUGGGAUUACAGGCAGGCACCACCAAGCUCAGAUAAUUUUGUAUACUUUUUGUAGAGACAGGGAUCACACUUUUGCUCAGGCUGAACUUGAACUCCUGACCUCAAACAGUCCUCUGCCUUAGUGAGGUUUUUAGUUCAAAUUAAAUGGGUAGUAGUCAGCAUUUCAUUUGAGAGAAUACUAAACAUGGAUAAAUCUAUUAGGUCCUAUUUCUCAAACUCAGAAGGCAAUAAGCAGCCUCGAAGACUGUGCACACUGGGUUUCAUGAUAAAAUCUUUUAUGUUCAAAGGGGAAAAUUUUACCCCUCUGCUCUUUCUGCAAAGCACUUUCUUGUUCAAGUUUCUCUUGAAAGUUUAUUUGGUCAUCCAUAUGGUCUUCUGAUGGACAAGGCUUGCUUUGUAAGUGUAUUCAUAUAGAAACACAUGAUUAUCUAAAUGGAGAUCCAUUACUUGCUGCUCAGCCAGAAGACCUCAAAGAAGUCUUCCCCUUUCCAUCUAUCAUCUUUUGCCAAGAAUUUAGGCACAGAGGCUAUUAACUACAAUUCAAAGUCAGAAAGACAUAAAAAAUUCUUUGAUUCAUAGAGUGUAUCAGCACUCAGCUCCCACAGAAAUCAGGUCACAAAAGGAAGUGUCAUUAAACUAUAGGGAAGCACUGGUAGGGUAAAGCUCACUAGAGCUAUAAUACAAAGCUAAAUGUCUAAUGUCUUGAAGAUUUGCACUGUCUUCAAAAAGCCAAAUAAGUCAGGUUUGUGGGAGGUUAUCAUUUUUUUCCCCUAGAGAUGGGGGUCUCAUCAUGUUUCCCAGGAUGGCCUUGAACUUCUGGCCUCAAGCCAUCCUUGCACCUCAGCCUGCCAAAGUUCUAGGGACUACAGGUGUCAGCCACCAUGCCCACCAUAAACCAGGGUUUUACCUGGGGGCUUAGAGAAAAAGUAAACCCUAUUCUAAUCUUAGCACCUUUGAUAAUAUUCCUACCCACACAUCAUUUGAAUAUUGACUAAUGUACAUAGGCAUCCGACUGGUUGAUUAUUGAUUAAGAAGACAUAAUUUUUUUUUUUAACAAUUAAGAACCUUAAUCUGUCUCCUUUGCUUGCUUUUCUUUGGAGAAUUGUCCAAUAAUCACUAUGGGAUCUCAUUCCCCAGUCUUUGGUACUCAUAUUCCCUAUUCACAAAAUUCAGAUACUCAUUGUUAGAAUCCUACAGCUGAAACAUGAUAAUAUAACUCCCCAGUGCUCUUAUAUGUCUUUAAUUGCAGGACUUGAAUGAAAAGUUUAAACAUAACAGUAUUUCUAAGAAAAGCAGUGUGUUCCAGUCUUUCUUCCAUGCUGAUGAGCUGAUUUGUUCUUGCAGAGCUUAGAGCACUUUGUUAAUAUUCUCCCAUUUGUUUCAACAGUGUCCUUGGAAAGAGAAUCAAAAUUAUUUUCCCCAUGAUACAAUUGGAAAAACUAAGGAAAAAAAGAGAUGAAGUGCAUUCUAAAAGAACAUAACUGGCUUGGACAAAGCUCACAUUCACCAUGUUCACUAUGCUGAUGACUUGGCUUCCUAGUACUAGAAUUAUCAUGAAUUGAGCAUCUUAGAACAUUAAGAGCAAUUUGAACAGUAUCACAUGCUAAAAGAGUCUCAUUUUGUCAAAAUUAUUAAAGUAUGCAAUUUAUAAAACUCUUAUUUCCUAUGUGACAGAAAUGCAAUAUGUGCCUGUUACCUCCACUUUACCCUGUGUGACACAUAUCUUUCACCAGUGUUAUUAUCUCCUUUAGCACAUGACAUCCUGAUACUGGGCUGUCUUCACCAGGGAACACAAUGUGCUUCCCCAUGUUUAUGCUAAAUUGCACAACAUGUAGAGAUUGGGGUUAGUGGAGAUUUAAUUAAGCACAAUUCUAGCAGGUAUGUUUAAAGAGUAUCAAAUAUACAUUGUUGUAACAUGCACCUAAAUUUAACAAGGCCCAAAUUCACAGGAAUGUGCCUCUCAUUAUUCAAAGCCUACCCUUUUUGACUCUUGUCACACGUAUCUACAUACACAUGUGCCCAUGCUUAUGCACCCAUGCACACACACGCAUGCAGGCACACACACACACACACACACUCUUUCCCCAAAGCAGGCUGCCUGGUCAUCAAAAGCAAAUAUUUUGAAAGAAUGAUUCUCUGCCCUCUCCUUUCAGAAAAAAAAGUCUAACAAUCACAGCAAGUGAAGAACAUUCCAUUUACACAAUCCAGAACUUCUUCUCUCAGAUUAGCUAAGAGACUGAGUUGGUACAAAAGACAUGUGCUGUUCAGAGGCAGAGAGAACAUCUAAUAAGAUCAUCAGGUUAUUCCACAAUACCUGUGUUCUUAGAAAUUCAUGAGUGCCAUCCAGUUAGUAGGAAAUGGUUGAUUAGGUAUGGUACAUCUACAUUUCUUCAACCAUAGCUGUAUGUACCAUAUUAAAUUGUCUUUUGCAUAUGAGAUGUAAUAUAAAAAUGAAUGAGUAGUCCCUAAUAGCAGGCAACCCAUGAGUGUUUAUUUCCCCAAAAGGGUUAGUGUGUGUCUUGCACAGUGUUGAAAACCAUUAAAUUUGUUCUUUGGAGCAGCCUGGUACCCAGUCGUCAACAGAAUGAAUUAAAGCCGACCAUGGAUUAAAUAUAUCAGGAAACAGGGUAACGUUGUGGAAAAACACUAUAUAUAUAUAUGUGUGUGUGUGUGUGUGUGUGUGUGUGUAUCAGGAAAUAGAUUCUUAGUAGGGAAUGAUGUUAAAGGAAAAAGAAGAAACAUUCAAGGAAUAAUUGCUUGCACCAUACUGGCUAAAUAUGUAAUGGAACACAGCAGGAAAUCUAGGAAUGAGUCUUCGUAAUACCUCAAUUAUUACAAACAUUUUGAGAUAUGGAAAAAUCAAGAAACAUAAAUUCUGUGCAGACAGAAACAAAUGAAGCCCUCUAGCACCACUGAUAAGCCAAGAAAAUUGAAAUUUGCACUGGCGAAUCAGAAAAAAUGCUACCAGCUGUUUCUUGGAAGAGAAAUAAUGGACCAUAGUGACCCACGUAUGUAAACUGUAUUGGAGUGCCAAAAUAGUGCUGGGGACCUUAGUACUUAAGCUCUCAAGUUGCCACUUUGCUGCAUAUCUUUUUUUCAACCAUUCUACUAAAAAUGAUUAUAUGUAAUAUUCUUUUUUUUCUUAUUAAAUCAUGUGGAAGGCUGACACCACAGCAUCUAUUUUGUAGGCCAAGUGCCAUUUCCCAUACUAACAGACUUAUGUUUCUAUUUUCCUGCAAACGCUAGGCCUCUUCUCAUAAAUCAUGCGAGCAAAACUUGGAAACUUGCCGGUGGGAAUUUUCUGCUGCGGCUGGGUUGCUUGGAUACCCGGUGACACAAACCUCCUCCUUCACCCACCCUUAUAUACUCUGAGAUAACAUUGUAAUAAACGAGACUUGAUCAGACUCCUGUCUUGUCUCCAUUCUUCACGCCCCUUGCCCCUUCCCAUUCUCACCCCCUCCUCCAGGUAUCCCUGUCGACUGACCCGCGGGCCAGGUCACGUGGUACCCGACCAGGGACCUGGAUAUGAGGGAAAACUGUGAAGAAGCUACUGGAGGCAGCCGGCCGGCUCAGAGAAACAUAGGGACCUGGCCACGCAGUAGCCUGCUGCGCUGGAAUGAGGAUCUCGGUAACUAUGAGCACCUGGAUAUGGCUACUGCUGGGAAUCUCUCUCCUGAGACGAAAAAAUGAAGGUGGUUUCGGUAAUCCCCAUGAGGCUUGGGCACUCUUACAAAAAUUAACUGGUACUCCUUGCGAGUGCCAUGGUGGCACCUGGAACGGUAAAACAACCCCUCUUCUAAAUGUAGAUUGUGGUAAUAAAACAGCGUACUUAGUAAUGAGACAAGGUGUUCAUGGAACACAGGCAUGGGUCUGUAGCAAAAAGGCUAAAAUUACCCCCACCUUUAAUAACAAACCUGGACCAUGCCCUUGUAUAGAAUUCCAUCCAUCUGUACAUAAUACCUGUUAUGAGCAGGUUCAACUAUGCACUGGUACAGAUAAUAAUACCUAUUUUACAGCAAUCUUGACCAGACAUUUUUUGGGGACAUUUGGAGGCGAGUGGGAAACAGUCCCUCAGGUCCAGGGGACCUCAAAUAAAUAUGCCCAAUCUGGCUGUCCCAAUGCAGUAGGAAAAACAGCUUGCUGGAAAAGACUCCACCUGUGCACGUCUCUGAUGGAGGUGGACCCCAAGAUCAGGUCUCUUCUCAUAAAUCAUGUGAGCAAAACUUGGAAACUUGCCAGUGGGAAUUUUCUGCUGCGGCCAGGUGCUGCGGCCGGGUUGCUUGGAUACCCGGUGGCAAACCUCCUCCUUCACCCACCCAUAUAUACUCUGAGAUAACAUUGUAAUAAACGAGACUUGAUCAGA